AAAAUAGCUUGUUCUCUUCGAAAUAGCUUUAGGGCUAGCGUCGUGUUGCAGCAAUCGGGGGUAGAGCUCUGAUUAGAACUGGGGUCCGCAAGGAUACCCACUCUUGUCAAACUACGAAUACCGGUUGUGUAGAAGCGGCAGUUAGAACGUGGGGGCUAAGCUCCACGCUCAAAAGGGAAACAACCCAGAUCGCCAGCUAAGGUCCCUAAGUAUUACUCAGUGGGAAACGAGGUGGAAUUGCUGAAACAGCGAGGAUGUUGGCUUAGAAGCAGCCAUUCAUUUAAAGAGUGCGUAACAGCUCACUCGUCAAGCGAUUCUGCGCGGAAGAUGUAACGGGGCUUAAGUAAUACACCGAAGCUGCGAGUUCAUAUUUAUAUGAGCGGUAGAAGAGCAUUAAUGUCAGCACUGAAGUCGAACUGUGAGGUUCGGUGGAGCGGCAUUAAGUGAGAAUGCUGGAAUGAGUAACUAAUAAAGAAAGUGAGAAUCUUUCUCGCCGAAUGGGUGAGGUUUCCUGGGCGAUGAUCGUCAUCCCAGGGUUAGUCGGGCCUAAGCCGAGGCGAAUAGCGUAGGCGAUGGACAACGGGUUAAUAUUCCCGUACCGGCGUUGUUAUUGUCUGGAUAUGCUCAGGGUGUAAGUCUAAGCGGUUUUUUGACUAUAGCCGUCUAAGUGUAGACCUUCGGGCGAGCACGAAUGAAACUGUUCUAACGAACGGAAUUUAGAUGUUCACACUGACCGGAAAAGUAUCCAGAUGCCAAGACAAUGACCGACCGUACCGCAAACCAACACAGGUACCCAGGUCGAGUAGACCAAGGCGCGCGAGAGAACCCUUGUUAAGGAACUCGGCAACAAAAGCGACCGUAACUUCGGGAUAAGGUCUGCCUACAUUUGUAGGCCGCAGUAAAAGAGUCCACGCGACUGUUUAUCAAAAACACAGGUCUGUGCUAACACGAAAGUGGAUGUAUACGGGCUGACGCCUGCCCGGUGCCGGAAGGUUAAGGAAGAGGGUGUAUGCUUUCGACUGAAGCCCCGGUGAACGGCGGCGGUAACUAUAACCGUCCUAAGGUAGCGAAAUUCCUUGUCGGGUAAGUUCCGACCCGCACGAAUGGCGCAACGAUGUGGACGCUGUCUCAACAAGGGACUCGGUGAAAGUGCAUUGGCGGUAAAGAUGCCGUCUGUCCGCAUCAGGACGAGAAGACCCCGUGGAGCUUUACUACAGCUUGACAUUGAGUCGAGUGGCAGUUUGUGCAGUAUAGGUGGGAGACUUUGAAGCAGAUACGCUAGUAUUUGUGGAGUCAUCAGUGAAAUACCACCCCUACUGUCAUUUGGCUCUUACGUGGCCCUUG
rnacentral:rRNA from 1 species